GCCGUGGGGCGGUGCGGGCGAGGGGCGGGGGGUCCCUCCCUCCCCGUUUUAUUCCUCUUCGCGCUUCCUUCUCCUCUUACUCCUUCCUUUUGUUCUUGCCCUCCCUCUCGGGUUCGCCCCCCCCCCCCCCCGCCGCGUUCCUCUGCUGUUGUUACCCCACCCCUCGCUCCCUCCCGCGCCCCGCCCCCUCCUGGCACUGCGGAGCCGGAGACGUGACCCGAGCGGACUCGCUUCCCCGCAGCUCCAGCCUCUCGCCGCAGAGUCGCAUGUCCUCGAUCCAGAACCUCCAAUCCUUCGACCCCUUUGCUGAUGCAACAAAGGGCGACGACUUACUCCCGGCGGGGACUGAGGAUUACAUUCAUAUAAGGAUCCAGCAACGAAACGGAAGAAAGACACUAACAACUGUUCAGGGAAUUGCAGAUGAUUAUGACAAGAAGAAACUUGUGAAAGCUUUCAAAAAGAAAUUUGCUUGUAAUGGUACUGUGAUUGAACAUCCUGAAUACGGUGAAGUUAUCCAGCUGCAAGGUGACCAGAGGAAGAACAUUUGCCAAUUUCUCUUGGAGAUUGGCAUUGUCAAGGAAGAACAACUGAAAGUUCAUGGUUUCUGAUAUACCUGUACACUUAUGAAGAAUCCUGCAGUAUUGGUCUUACCUAACCUGGCUCUUCUGUAAAAAAUGAAUCUUUGCAGUGAAUGGACUUCCCUGUUACCUGAACAUUUACAAUUUGAUUCAGAUUUGCAUGACUGCAUCAAACAGAUUUCUGAGUUCAGAUAUGAACCCUUAUGGCACUAGCAACAAUUAGGGGAGCAUUAUGUGACAGUUUCUUUCUCCAUCUGGCCUAGACAAUUCCACCUGUGAGAAUCCAGUGUCCAGUCUCUCAGUCCCCACAAAUUCUGCCUGGUGUUACAGAUCUUAAUUGUUCAACAGAAAGGAUGUUCCAGAACAUUGUAACUAUUGAGGUAUAAUGUGUUCAGGAGGAGGGAAUGGCUGCUGCAAAAUGCAAAAUACCUACACACCAAAUGAAAAAACCAGAAAUAAGUCUUAUGCAAGUCUUGCAGAUAAGCAGAAUAAAAUCAUUCUACUGCAGGUUUAUCUAGUCUUGAUUCUUAGGUGCUAAAGUAAUUAAUCUUUUGGGGGUACAUAGCACUUUGUGAUUUUCAUUUUAUCAUAUGCCAGAAAAAACGAUGUUCCCAUUUAAAGCUUGUUCUGCCCAAGAGGAAAAACAAGCAUCUUCUCCUAUUUCCCUGAUAUUACAUGAUUACUUCUAGUGGGCUUUGAAUUGGAGAUUAACGAAUGACUAGCAGAUCUCGUGUUACUGAGUCAGUCUUCAUUUCAGAUGGCAUUCCAUUAAUUUCUACUACCUAAGCUUGAGUCAUUUCUCCAUAGUCAUUCUUCUUGGAAUAAAAAAUAAAAACCUUUUGUU